UACGUAGGGGGCUAGCGUUGUCCGGAAUCAUUGGGCGUAAAGGGUGCGUAGGCGGCGGAGUAAGUUGGGUGUGAAAUCCCGGGGCUCAACCUCGGAAUGGCAUUCAAUACUGCUUCGCUAGAGUACUGGAGAGGAGGCUGGAAUUUACGGUGUAGCAGUGAAAUGCGUAGAUAUCGUAAGGAAGGCCGGUGGCGAAAGCGAGCCUCUGGACAGUUACUGACGCUGAUGCACGAAGGCUAGGGGAGCAAACGGG
rnacentral:rRNA from 1 species